rnacentral:rRNA from 1 species
CACGUAGGGGGCAAGCGUUGUCCGGAUUUAUUGGGCGUAAAGAGCUCGUAGGCGGUUUGGUAAGUCGGGUGUGAAACCUCCAGGCUCAACCUGGAGACGCCACCCGAUACUGCUGUGACUAGAGUCCGGUAGGGGAGCGUGGAAUUCCUGGUGUAGCGGUGAAAUGCGCAGAUAUCAGGAGGAACACCAGCGGCGAAGGCGGCGCUCUGGGCCGGAACUGACGCUGAGGAGCGAAAGCGUGGGGAGCAAACAGG